rnacentral:snoRNA from 1 species
AUCCCAUGAUGUGGACAUCUUCUAAGUAAUUCCUUAAAUCCCUCUCAAGCUUCAUACAAGGAUUCACCAUCAAAUUGUGUAUAUGAGGUUAUAUCAUUCCUUAUCUU